rnacentral:rRNA from 1 species
UACGAAGGGGGCUAGCGUUGUUCGGAAUUAUUGGGCGUAAAGGGCGCGUAGGCGGCCUGUUAAGUCGGUUGUGAAAGCCCGGGGCUCAACCCCGGAAAGUCGACCGAUACUGGCAGGCUAGAGUACGGAAGAGGUAGCUGGAAUUCCCGGUGUAGCGGUGAAAUGCGUAGAUAUCGGAAGGAACACCAGUGGCGAAAGCG